GAACUUUCCAGAAUGGUCUGGGCCUCGUGUCGGCCGAUAUAAAUAGCCGCAGGUAGGCGAGCGAGUACAGUUCAGUUUGAGCGAUCUUCGAGGCGACUUCAAGAGUGAAAACUAGUGAUCAAGAGUGUGGUACCAGUGAAACCUACGACAUUGGCUACGACUGAGGACAUUGUGAGUGCUUAGUGUUUGAACUUAGUGCUUAGUGUUUGAACCUAGUGCUUUGUGUUGGACCUAGUGCUAGUGAAUAAAGUCUUGAAAAGAGUC
rnacentral:misc_RNA from 1 species